AACGAACGCUAGCGGCGUGCUUAACACAUGCAAGUCGAACGAGAAAGGGAGCAAUCCUGAGUAAAGUGGCGCACGGGUGAGUAACACGUGGGUAACGUACCCUCGGGUGGGGAAGUAACGGGCCGAAAGGCUCGCUAAUACCGCAUCAGACCACGUCCUCUGCGGAGGAUGAGGCCAAAGGUGGCUGUCGCAAGGCAGUUGCCGCCUGAGGAUCGGCUCGCGGACCAUUAGCUAGAUGGCGGGGUAAGUGGCCCACCAUGGCUACGAUGGUUAGCUGGUCUGAGAGGACGACCAGCCACACUGGAACUGACACACGGUCCAGACUCCUACGGGAGGCAGCAGUGGGGAAUAUUGCGCAAUGGGCGAAAGCCUGACGCAG
rnacentral:rRNA from 1 species